CUAUAAUGAUUCUGUGAUUGCAUGAUGCUAUGACAUAUGACAGUAGAGAUGGCUCACAAAUCUCCCUGUACCUAACAACCAGCCUAAAGCAAACGAUCUAACCCAAAAAUAGUCCUAUUUGGUAUCCCUGGACAAUGCCUUUGCAAUCCUUCACAUUUCAGGAAAGAACUCAUUUUUAUAAUAAUUGAAAACAAAUAAAUGAAUGGACUUUCUACUACCCUAUCUGCUGCACAGGGAUAGAGGGAAUGGACACAAGCAGAGAUUUGAAGAAAAACAUUGAGAUGAGGAAGAGUGGGUAGUGAGAAAGAUUUGAACCUACAUCUCAGGCAUUGUCCUUUCCAUCUAUACUCUUGUUCAAACACGUGGUAGACAACUGU